rnacentral:rRNA from 1 species
AUGCGUGAUCAGGUCGGCAUCGACCUGGACGGCUUCCCCCUCGACCACGAGUUCCCGGAGGACUAUGGGCUAGAGGAAGAGGACGAGUGCGACAUCGAAGUGGAGCCUUUGUUCGAGGACGAGCUCACCAACCAAGCCGCCGGUCCUAAGCCGAAGCGCAAGAGCAAGCGCACGAAGGCGUACACAGCUGCCGAGGACAAGCUUCUUUGCGAGUGUUGGCGAAACAUUGGACAAGACCCAAAGACAGGCGCUGAGCAAAAGCAUUCGACCUUUUGGACUUGUGUGCACCGCGAGUUUCAUGAGGGUAAGAAGUUUCCACCUUACUAAUUUGUGAGCACGCGCGAGUGGGUCUCCAUUUCCAAGCGGUGGAGGGUGAUCCAACAAGAGUGCAACAAGUUUUGCGCCACCCUUGAGAGCGUCAAGGCCCGCCCCGUGAGCGGCAUCGGCGUGCAAGACAUGGUAUGA